rnacentral:rRNA from 1 species
UGGGGAAUAUUGGACAAUGGGGGGAACCCUGAUCCAGCAAUGCCGCGUGUGUGAAGAAGGCCUUCGGGUUGUAAAGCACUUUCAGUAGGGAGGAAGGGGAUAAUGUUAAUACCAUUAUUCAUUGACGUUACCUACAGAAGAAGCACCGGCUAACUCUGUGCCAGCAGCCGCGGUAAUACAGAGGGUGCAAGCGUUAAUCGGAAUUACUGGGCGUAAAGCGUGUGUAGGUGGUUAUAUAAGUUAGAUGUGAAAUCCCCGGGCUUAACCUGGGCACUGCGUUUAAAACUGUUUAACUAGAGUGCUGUAGAGGGUAGUGGAAUUUCCAGUGUAGCGGUGAAAUGCGUAGAUAUUGGAAGGAACACCAGUGGCGAAGGCGACUACCUGGACAGACACUGACACUGAGACACGAAAGCGUGGGGAGCAAACAGGAUUAGAUACCCCCGUAGUCC